rnacentral:misc_RNA from 1 species
GCAAACUUGGUCAUUUAGAGGAAGUAAAAGUCGUAACAAGGUUUCCGUAGGUGAACCUGCGGAAGGAUCAUUACCGAGUUGUGGGACUUCGGUCUCAACUCCCAUCCUAUGUUAACUUUCAAUUGUUGCUUUGGCGGACCGGUGGCUUUGGCUGCCGCCGGCCUUAGAGGGCUGGAGAGCGUCCGCCAGAGGCCUUUUAACGCUCUGUUAAUUGUGAAUUCUGAGUACUUGAUAAUUGAAACCAAAACUUUCAACAACGGAUCUCUUGGUUCUGGCAUCGAUGAAGAACGCAGC